AAACCAACAGGGAUUGCCCCAGUAACGGCGAGUGAAGCGGCAAAAGCUCAAAUUUGAAAUCUGGCUCCUCUUUGGGGUCCGAGUUGUAAUUUGCAGAGGAUGCUUUGGGUGCACCCGCGGCGUAAGUCCCUUGGAACAGGGCGUCAUAGAGGGUGAGAAUCCCGUCUUGAGUCGCUGGCGUGUGCCCGUGCAAAGCUCCUUCGACGAGUCGAGUUGUUUGGGAAUGCAGCUCUAAUUGGGUGGUAAAUUUCAUCUAAAGCUAAAUACUGGCCGGAGACCGAUAGCGAACAAGUAGAGUGAUCGAAAGGUUAAAAGCACCUUGAAAAGGGAGUUAAAUAGCACGUGAAAUUGUUGAAAGGGAAGCGCUUGCAGCCAGACUCGGGCGCGGAGGCUCAGCGGGCAUGUUUGCCCGUGUACUCCUUCGCGCCCGGGCCAGCAUCAGUUUUGGCGGCCGGUCAAAGGCCUCCGGGAUGUAUCGUCCUCCGGGACGUCUUAUAACCGGGGGUGCAAUGCGGCCAGCUGGGACUGAGGAACGCGCUUCGGCACGGAUGCUGGCGUAAUGGCUGUAAGCGGC
rnacentral:rRNA from 1 species